rnacentral:misc_RNA from 1 species
CCCCUGACCGUCUUUCAAUUCGUAGCACCGUGCGCUUUGCACUUUUCACAUUCCUGUCGAAUACCACCGCCGCGGACUUGUGCCUCACCCGUCGGGAGGGAAAAGCGCUGGAUAUAGGGCCAUGUCUUCUGUGCUCACGGGGGCCUUGGCGUAUGGCAGCAGCGUCUUCACCAUCGUCGCGCUGUACCCGUAUCGUGACUUUGUAAAAUCAGCCGAUGUGCGUCAUCUGCCGUGUGCGAAGGAUCUGGGAGACUACUGCGCGAAACGAUACAGGGGUAUGCUUGGAAGCCUCUCGCAGCCAAUGCUGCUGGCAGCACCGCAUGCAGCGCUGUACUUCGGGUACGUGUUUGCCGCGGGCGGCGCCGCCGGUGCCCUUCUUGGCGGCUUGCUAUUCGGAUACACCAAAACGUUUGUGCGGGCAGUUGCCUAUCGCAUGAAUGGUGGUGGCUCUCGUUACAGCAAGCCAGUGCAGCGAGGGUACUCGGGCCUACUGGACUGCGUUGUGCUUAGCGCGAAGCAUUAUGGUGUGCUCUCAUUUUUUCCUGGAGCGCUGGCGGCGUCCGUAGUGGGGGUGCUUUGGUACGGCAUUUCUCUUGCAGUACUGCAGCAGACAUACAGCCGGUCUUUCGGCGAAGACCUGUGGAACGCCUUUCGCGUCCAUGCACUUCUGACCUUUCUCACAGCACCCGUGCGCAACACAAUGCGCUCGUCAAUGUACCCUAGCGAGCGUUCCGGCGGCGUUCACGCAGUGCGGGAUUACGUGGCCACUGAGGCGGCUGUCUUUCGCGAGGCAGGAGGCGUUUUUCUUUCUAUGGCGCGGGAGGAGGGCUUGCGUUUCUUUUUCAAUGGAACACUACGCACCACAUUCAAAAGCUCUGUCCCGUUUGCAGUGACGUAUGCUCUCUUCAAGGCCAUAGGCGGGUCCAUCGGGCUUCCAACCGGUGGCGCCUAUCGUGGCGGCCGCAUCGGGCGUCACUUUUCUCGGCGCUUUUAAUUCCUUUUUCGCGCAUGCGACUACUUAGGCGAGCUGUCUAGGUGCGCAUUGCUGUAGCUCUCCACUCUCCGUCUUGAUAAGCGCUCUUGAUCUUCACACAACCAUACGCGUGCUCACAUCCACGGAGGCGAGCACACAGCGUCAGCGGAGUUCAGCGCGUCCCCUUCAUUACACCAACGCCCCUGCUCCAGACGACGCCAGCAGGACUUUUGGCGCAGACGUGCUCAGGUAUCGACCACGACAUCCGGCGAAAGAAAUAUCACAUGGGCGUUUUCACAACAAUUACGCUGUAUCGUCCUUUGUUCUGCCAAGGAUGACUACCCGACAGCAGGGGGCGGCAGGGCAAGCCGAGAAUUGGAGCGCCGCGCCCCCGCGCACGGGCUGCAGUGCCUGGUGGCGCCCACAUAUUUUUUUUACAUUGCCAUCUCUAAAUUCGAGCUUUAUUAACGCUUCAGUGCUCCUCCAAGUCUCUUCUUCAUGCUUAUUGCCUUUCCUCUGCCUGUGGCACCUUACCUUCAUCUUCCCUCCUUACUUUUUACAUCGGCGCCACUAG